rnacentral:lncRNA from 1 species
AAAACUCCAAACCACAUCCACAUCAUUACAUCACAAGAACACACAUAGAAACAACAUCAAUGAAGAUUCAUAGAAAACUCAAUGGUGAUGAUGAGCUUCCAUGGUUCUUCAUGAGCCUCUUGCUUAUGAGCUUCCAUGGUUCUUCAUGAGCUUUUCCUUCUUCCUUCCUUCCUCUUCUUCUUUUCUUAUCUCUUCCUUUUCUUUUUAUUUCUAAUAUCUCUCUUUCUCAAUCUUAUCCCCUUUUUUUUUUCUUAUUCUUUCCACCACACAAUAUUAUAUACAUAUAUACAUAAUAUCUGAAUAUAUAAUAUAAUAUUAUGUAAUGGUACAAAAUAUUCUCAAGUGAUAUUUUUAUCUUCUAGUACCAAUUAACCAAUCAUUAAUGUUAUAAAAAAUAUCCUCUCUUGUACUUAUUAAUAUUAGUCUGUUUCUUUAUUAAUAAUUAAUCUCUUCAGAGUUCACUGGUUACACUAUUGGUCUCAAUUGAUAACACUUAGAGCACAUAUGAGC